UACGGAGGGUGCAAGCGUUGUUCGGAAUUACUGGGCGUAAAGCGCGUGUAGGCGGCCCUGCAAGUCCUGUGUGAAAGCCCUCGGCUUAACCGGGGAAGUGCAUAGGAAACUGCUUGGCUUGAGUACUGGAGAGGGAGGCGGAAUUCCCAGUGUAGAGGUGAAAUUCGUAGAUAUUGGGAGGAACACCGGUGGCGAAAGCGGCCUCCUGGACAGAUACUGACGCUGAGACGCGAAAGCGUGGGGAGCAAACAGG
rnacentral:rRNA from 1 species